rnacentral:rRNA from 1 species
GAUGAACGCUAGCGGCAGGCCUAACACAUGCAAGUCGAGGGGCAGCACAUAAAGUGGUUUACUACUUUUGGUGGCGACCGGCGGACGGGUGCGUAACACGUAUGCAACCUGCCUCCAACAGGGGGAUAACGGAGAGAAAUUUCCACUAAUACCCCAUAAUAUCAGAAUCGGCAUCGGUUUUGGUUGAAAACUCCGGUGGUUGGAGAUGGGCAUGCGUUGUAUUAGAUAGUUGGUGAGGUAACGGAUCACCAAGUCAACGAUACAUAGGGGGACUGAGAGGUUAGCCCCCCACACUGGUACUGAGACACGGACCAGACUCCUACGGGAGGCAGCAGUGAGGAAUAUUGGUCAAUGGGGGCAACCCUGAACCAGCCAUGCCGCGUGCAGGAAGACGGCUCUAUGAGUUGUAAACUGCUUUUACAAGGGGAUAAAUCGGUGUACGUGUACACCGUUGAAGGUACCUUGGGAAUAAGGAUCGGCUAACUCCGUGCCAGCCGCCGCAGUAA